UGCAUUUUUUCUUCUUGUUUUGAAACAUCUUGUUCAGGAAAAUUCUACCUCAAGAGACUCAGAAUUUGAUGAAAAAUAGUUAACAAAGUAGGAAUGAUCUUUAAGAAAAGCCAAAGGGUUGAUCUGGACAUGAUGAGUAUUACACAUAUAGCUACUCGUAGAAAGGAAAAUAUGAGGAAAUCAGGGUGGUAUGGGGCGAAGGCCGAGAAGAUUUUAACUAUUCCCUUCAAGAUGUCUUUGAAAUAGAGAUCGAGAGAUACAUGUACUGGUGUGGUAGUCCCCGACUAAUCCCCAUUGCAAUGUAUCAUUGCAGCCCUUGCAAGAUUUUCCUAAUGAAGAUUCUCAAGAUUACAGAUCCUCUAGCAAGGAGACCAGACAGAUAGAAAUGACCAGAGCAGAGGACACACAGCCCCCCC